UACGGAGGAUGCAAGCGUUAUCCGGAAUGAUUGGGCGUAAAGCGUCCGCAGGUGGCUGUGUAAGUCUGCUGUCAAAGAGCAAAGCUCAACUUUGUAAAGGCAGUGGAAACUACACGGCUAGAGUGCGUUCGGGGCAGAGGGAAUUCCUGGUGUAGCGGUGAAAUGCGUAGAGAUCAGGAAGAACACCGGUGGCGAAGGCGCUCUGCUAGGCCGCAACUGACGCUGAGGGACGAAAGCUAGGGGAGCGAAUGGG
rnacentral:rRNA from 1 species